AUGCCGUGGUGGGGGCAUGCUGCAAUGUAUUCCUGGAAUCUCUCCCGAGCCUCUGGAAUGGCUUCAUCCGGCAGCUGCUGGAAUCCAAAGAUUUUGCUCCAGAGGGC